rnacentral:rRNA from 1 species
AUUGAACGCUGGCGGCAGGCCUAACACAUGCAAGUCGAACGAGUGGCGGACGGGUGAGUAAUGUCUGGGAAACUGCCUGAUGGAGGGGGAUAACUACUGGAAACGGUAGCUAAUACCGCAUACCAUCAGAUGUGCCCAUAUGGGAUUAGCUGGUUGGUGGGGUAACGGCUCACCAAGGCUACGCUCCCUAGCUGGUCUGAGAGGAUGACCAGCCACACUGGAACUGAGACACGGUCCAGACUCCGACGGGAGGCAGCAGGGGGGAAUAUUGCACAAUGGGCGCAAGCCUGAUGCAGCCAGGCCGCGUGUAUGAAGAAGGCCUUCGGGUUGUAAAGUACUUUCAGCGGGGAGGCGUUACCCGCAGAAGAAGCACCGGCUAACUCCGUGCCAGCAGCCGCGGUAAUAC